GUCACUAGUGUCAUGGUGACAGCAACUCCCUCUCAGAUAUUCCUUCAGUACCUCUAGAGUUUACUAAUUGGCUCUAAAUCAAAGUAAACAGCCAUUUGGGAGUGAGAAGAAAGAGAGUAAAGAGAACAGUGAUGGUGAGAAGGAAGCUGGCCUUCUGUAUUUGUAUAAAAAAGGAAGAAAUACUUGGUCCAUUGGAAAGCUUGAAAAUUUUCAUCAAAUGAGCCAGAAAUUCUUCCUGACUUCAACACAACAUGGCCAUUGGGAACAGAAUAAACCACAAAUAAGAAAAUGGAGAAAGUGGUUGACACACGCAAAAUUCUUGGUUUUAAAAUUAAUAAUCAUGCUAGUUAUGGGAUGGAGCUUUGAAAAUAGAGCCAAUGACAGGAUGAAAAACACUGACGAAGAGUAUUUAAAUUAAAUUUUUACUAAAUAAAAGAAAACAGUGGAUCUGAAGACAAGAUCUAGUGGAAUUGCUAACCAUCUGGACUAAUUGAAGAAAUCUUAAAAGGGUGCCACAGAGACGACAUAGUAAUUAAGAAUGCAAACUGCUUUUACAGAAGAUCUGAGUUUGGAUUCAGGCUCCCGUGUCCUGUGACCCACAACCACUUGUUAUUUCAGCUCCUGGGGAUAUACCGCCUCUACUGGCUUUCUUGGACAUAGUGCUUAUAUGUGUAUACACAAACACACACACACACACACACACAAACACACACACACACACACACACGUUCACUCACAGAGAUAAUUAAAAAUUAAAAAGUAGACUUUGAAAAAGAA